rnacentral:RNase_MRP_RNA from 1 species
UUUGGUGGAGAAAGCAGCGCUUCGGUCCAUUAGGGCUGAGUGAAAGUCCCCGAGCUCGGUGCUUUUGACACCAAAUGGCAGAGAGUGCCACCUCGAAAGAGGAGAAGCCCGGUUGAGGCCACUGUGGUGUCUCGCCAUGGCCGGGUUAGCUGGCUAUAGUCCCAGUAAUGCGCUUACACACGCGUGUACAACAGAACGGGGCUUACUAUCUCCACCAA